UAUGGUAAUUGUGUGCCAGCCGCGGUAUACGGAGGAUGCGAGCGUUAUCCGGAUUUAUUGGGUUUAAAGGGAGCGUAGACGGGUUUUUAAGUCAGCUGUGAAAGUUUGGGGCUCAACCUUAAAAUUGCAGUUGAAACUGGAGACCUUGAGUACGGUUGAGGCAGGCGGAAUUCGUGGUGUAGCGGUGAAAUGCUUAGAUAUCACGAAGAACCCCGAUUGCGAAGGCAGCCUGCUAAGCCGCCACUGACGUUGAGGCUCGAAAGUGCGGGUAUCAAACAGG
rnacentral:rRNA from 1 species